rnacentral:rRNA from 1 species
CAGUAGCCGCGGGAAUACGGAGGGUGCAAGCGUUAAUCGGAAUUACUGGGCGUAAAGCGUGCGUAGGCGGUUUGUUAAGUCUGUUGUGAAAUCCCCGGGCUCAACCUGGGAAUGGCAAUGGAUACUGGCAAGCUAGAGUGUGUCAGAGGAUGGUGGAAUUCCCGGUGUAGCGGUGAAAUGCGUAGAGAUCGGGAGGAACAUCAGUGGCGAAGGCGGCCAUCUGGGACAACACUGACGCUGAGGCACGAAAGCGUGGGGAGCAAACAGGAUUAGAUACCCCGGUAGUCCCUGUCUCUUAUAC